GUCGAACGCCCCGCAAGGGGAGUGGCGCACGGGUGAGUAACGCGUGGGAACAUGCCCUUCAGUACGGAACAACGUCGGGAAACUGACGCUAAUACCGUAUAAUAUCUCCGGAUCAAAGAUUUAUCGCUGAGGGAGUGGCCCGCGUCUGAUUAGCUAGUUGGUGAGGUAAAGGCUCACCAAGGCUACGAUCAGUAGCAGGUCUGAGAGGAUGAUCUGCCACACUGGGACUGAGACACGGCCCUGACUCCUACGGGAGGCAGCAGUUAGGAAUAUUGGACAAUGGGGGAAACCCUGAUCCAGCCAUGCCGCGUGUGUGAUGAAGGCCCUAGGGUUGUAAAGCACUUUCGUUGGGGAUGAUAAUGACCGUACCCAAAGAAGAAGCACCGGCUAACUUCGUGCCAGCAGCCGCGGUAAUACGAAGGGUGCAAGCGUUGUUCGGAAUCACUGGGCGUAAAGAAUGCGUAGGCGGCUUAACAAGUCGGAAGUGAAAUCCCAGGGCUCAACCCUGGAACUGCUUUCGAAACUGUUUUGCUAGAGUCCCGGAGGGGUUAGCGGAAUUCCGAGUGUAGAGGUGAAAUUCGCAGAUAUUCGGAGGAACACCAGUGGCGAAGGCGGCUAACUGGACGGGAACUGACGCUGAGGCAUGAAAGUGUGGGGAUCAAACAGGAUUAGAUACCCUGGUAGUCCACACCGUAAACGAUGUGUGCUAGUUGUCGGGCAGCUCUGCUGCUCGGUGACGGAGCUAACGUUUUAAGCACACCGCCUGGGAAGUACGGCCGCAAGGUUAAAACUCAAA
rnacentral:rRNA from 1 species